GGCGAACGAUGAAGCCGGAGCUUGCUCUGGUGAAUUAGUGGCGAACGGGCGAGUAACACGUCAGUAACCUGCCCUUGAUUCUGGGUUAACUGCUAGAAAUGGUUGCUAAGACCGGAUACGACCCGCGGAGGCAUCUUCAGGGGGUGGAAAGAAUUUCGGCCAAGGAGUGACUCGCGGCCUAUUAGCUAGUUGGUGGGGUAAAGGCCUACCAAGGCCACGAUCAGUAGCUGGUCUGGGAGGAUGAUCAGGCACAUUGGGAAUGAAGCACGACCGAAAAUCCUACGGGAGGCAGCAGUGGGGUAUAUUGGACAAUGGGCGCAAGCCUGAUCCAGCCAUGCCGCGUAAGUGAUGAAGGCCUUAGGGUUGUAAAGCUCUUUCAUCCUGGACGAUAAUGACGGUACCGGAAGAAGAAGCCCCGGCUAACUUCGUGCCAGCCGCCGCCGUAA
rnacentral:rRNA from 1 species